GCUGGCCGCGGAUGAGCGGCGGCUGUCUGGCUCUGAAGUCCUCCGUUUACCUCGAUACGCCUGCCGGUGAGAAGGAGGACGGGAUUGUUGUUGCUGCGUCCAACCUCCACGUAUAGGUUCAUCAUCUCUCUCUCUUGAAGAUCUUUUUGCUAGGCAAUUUCGUGGGAUACUCCAUCCUCCACCUCUUCUUUGAAGGACACCACCAGGCUAUCCCUCUCUCUCUCUAAAGGAAUGGAGAAAUCUCAUCUUUUUUCUUGCGCCGAUCCAUUUUGCUGUUCGUUCUAUCUCCCCAGGUGAGCUCUUCCUUCUCGUUCCUCCCUCCCUAUUUCAGUUCCUCUACCAAUAGAGAAGAAGGGGGCUCUGCCAAGCCAUGGACUUGCUGCCACCAACCCUCACCGGCCCACUCCCUCCUCUCUCUGCACCCUCGUGAGCUUUCCCUUUUUUUAUUUUGAUUUACUCUCGUGGUCACCUCCCUUUCAGUUUGUUGCCUGCGAACUAUUUGUUGUUAUGCCCGUGCAAGCUGCCUUUUCACAUAUUUGUUGGUAGACACAUGUAGGUCUGUAUACUCCUGGUCAUGUUGAAGAUCGAGGGUUUGUAUAGCUUCUAGACCAAGAAGCUGAGAGGGGCUUUCUUCUUCGAGCGACAACGUGCUGCAGACUUUCUGAUCUGCUAUGUGUUCUUCACCAAAUCCUCCAGAAAGAAGAGGGCCAGCGACACCUUCAAGGGCAGCAACCAACAUUGAGAACGACAGGGUGCCAGUGGAGGUUAACCUCAGGAGAAGUUGCUGCGAGGUACAUCACAGGCUCGACAGGUUGUAGGGGAAUUGAGGGGAUUUUAUACCAUGGUAGCAGCGUUUACAUUAUCACUUACAACCAGCUCAUGAAGAGCUUCAGGAACAUGCCCACUCAGGUACCACUAAUACCCUGACAUCUAGCCAGAAAAUGAUGUGCUACAGAUUUGUUUUUCUUCCCUAUACUAUAUUGUAGGCUACAAACUCACUCAAAAUGUUUUUCAGAGAAGAGAUACCUUAAAAAAAUCCUCCAGAAUCUGCCUCUGUACUUUGUUGAGUUCCUGAUUGUCUCAAACCACACAUUGGUGUUAUGAGAUUCAAGAACGACAAGCGUUAUAUUUUUAAUUAGUUCCAACCAAGUGACACAAACUUUGCCUUCCGUUUUCUUGGUGUCCAGGCAAUGUUGUAGUUGCACGGGUUCAUAGAUGACUACCUGGCCCAGGUGGCUUGAGGAGACCAAUCUGGCCUAUUUUGGUAUCGUAUUUUCUGGAUGGUUUUGUUUGGUAUCCAUAAAUAACCAGUGAACCUAUACUUUUUUCAUGCAACUUCCCUGUACUGUUUACUACUUAUAUCUAUGGCACCAUAAAUAUAUCUAUUUCUGGAUUGUUGCUCUUAUCCAUGUGCUUCAGUGCUACUUAUUUUUUAUGUUUGAUAUGUAUAAAUUUUGUAUUCUGUAUGUGAGGAAAAUUCCCUGAACCAGAACUCCAUACUAUUAGGGGGUUGACAUAUUUUCUUCCUACCAGAUUAGUGGUUGAUGGUUACAAUUGAACAUGAGAAUGUAUAAAUACACAAAUGUUUUUUAACAACCAAACUAUCAUAUGAAUGAUUCAAGAUCCUAUAGAUAGCCAAUGUGAUGAGUUCUCACCCUGUAGGAUCUUAUUUAUAGGAAACAUGCUACUUGCCUACUUAAUCAACUCAGAAAACCAUUUCUUCUCUGUUGUCACAUGCUUUUUUUUUUUGCGGGUAUGUUGUCACAUGCUUUAAUGUGAUGCGGUAGAAACUAUGGCAUUUUUGGUCUUAGUUCUGUGUAUUGAAGGUACUAGCAGGGUGAAGGGUUACAAUUAUGUAUUAGGAAAUUCACUGUGAAAAUUUAAAUAAGGUUUCUUGUACACCAAUUUCUUUUCUUACAUUGAAUCUUCAUAAUAUCAUUCUUACAACUAAUUUAUCGCUAGGUACUUUUGUGGUGCAUUGGUUAUGUCAUGUUUUGCCGCAUCGCUAAUAAGGACCAUGGAAUCACGGUCGGAAUGAAAAGCCUCAUGCCAAGGUUCCUAUAACCAAAAUCCAAUAAAAAUACUCCUAGAAAGAAAAUGGCUCGCAAAAAAUAUUGUUAAGAAAACCAUGAAACCGGCCAAGGAGCAUUAGGAAGAUCGCAAUGGUGGUAAUGAGGCUUUGUCAGUUGGUUCAGAGCAUGCAUCUGGAAGAUGCAGAAAUAUGUAGUAUGAGCACGCUUGUACCGAUUUACUCUUUCGUAAUUGCUAACUGAAAGCAUCAAAGUUCUCAUGGAUUGCGUAGGAGGUUGCUACAAGAAGUUUCUUCUAUGUUUUUGUGCGUGCUAUUAACUACGCUUUGUCUACUAGAUCCAUAGACAGACGCUCGCACCGCCGCCGCUUGCCGUGCCGUCCCUUGGAGGAGUAGCUUGUGAGCUCCGUCUGUCCUGCACCUAUCUGACGUGUUGUGCUAAAGCGCCUGGCAUCUUCUUCCUUCUCAUCAUCAUUGAUGGCGCGAGGACGCCAGCCAUCAGUACACCAACCUGUUCUUCUCCACCUCUUCUCUAAAGGAGACCUACAGGCUAGCCUACUAUUUGAACCCCGUAAACAUGCCAUGUGCUACUAGCUCUUGCAGUAUUUCAGGUGGAGCGAUGUCUUGACCAUUGGUUGAGCAGCGAGGCAGAGCUGCGGCCGUGAGGGACCGUUAUGUCUCCAUGUACAUGGUUGGCAUAUGAUGCUCGACUGCUUUCUCAUCCACCUCAACUUCCGUUCAUGGGUGCCAACGUUUUCCGCACUCUUACUUGCAGAUUUCAAGCAUUUGCAGUGAAUGUUUCGCUGUGGAGGAGAGGGAUUACUAUAAACUCUGGAAAUACAAUGGUAUCAGGCUUAUGCUGAUUUCUACAUCAUUACUAUAUUUGUGAAGUAUGGGGCUUAAGCCGGUUUCUCCAUCACUACAAUAUUUGGGAACAAACACAAGAGAUUGCUUCUUUCAUGGAUGAUGUGCUCGAGAAAAUUUACUAUUGCACUGCACAUGUUGAAGAAUUACCUGUCCAGGUCCCGCUUGCUGGCAUCACCGGUUGCCGAAGCUAUGGCAGUCUCAUCACCACAUGUUUUACUCGCUACAGUUUGUGUUGGAUUUUCCCAUUUUCUUUAUGUGUAUACCUAUUAAUAAUUUAAUAUUUGCUCAAGAGGAACUUGCAGAA